GUUUUGACUGAUGUUUGGAGAUGGUACUGUUCUUACUGCUGUGUGGAGGUGGUACCGUUCUGACUGCUGUGUGGAGAUGGCACUGUUCUGACUGCUGUGUGGAGAUGGUACUUUGCUGACUGCUGUGUGGAGGUGGCACUGUUCUGACUGCUGUGUGGAGGUGGUACUUUGCUGACUGCUGUGUGGAGAUGGUACUUUGCUGACUGCUGUGUGGAGGUGGCACUGUUCUGACUGCUGUGUGGAGGUGGUACUUUGCUGACUGCUGUGUGGAGAUGGUACUGUUCUGACUGCUGUGUGGAGAUG